rnacentral:rRNA from 1 species
GAAGCAGCUUGCUGCUUUGCUGACGAGUGGCGGACGGGUGAGUAAUGUCUGGGAAACUGCCUGAUGGAGGGGGAUAACUACUGGAAACGGUAGCUAAUACCGCAUAACGUCGCAAGACCAAAGAGGGGGACCUUAGGGCCUCUUGCCAUCGGAUGUGCCCAGAUGGGAUUAGCUAGUAGGUGGGGUAAAGGCUCACCUAGGCGACGAUCCCUAGCUGGUCUGAGAGGAUGACCAGCCACACUGGAACUGAGACACGGUCCAGACUCCUACGGGAGGCAGCAGUGGGGAAUAUUGCACAAUGGGCGCAAGCCUGAUGCAGCCAUGCCGCGUGUAUGAAGAAGGCCUUCGGGUUGUAAAGUACUUUCAGCGGGGAGGAAGGGAGUAAAGUUAAUACCUUUGCUCAUUGACGUUACCCGCAGAAGAAGCACCGGCUAACUCCGUGCCAGCAGCCGCGGUAAUACGGAGGGUGCAAGCGUUAAUCGGAAUUACUGGGCGUAAAGCGCACGCAGGCGGUUUGUUAAGUCAGAUGUGAAAUCCCCGGGCUCAACCUGGGAACUGCAUCUGAUACUGGCAGGCUUGAGUCUCGUAGAGGGGGGUAGAAUUCCAGGUGUAGCGGUGAAAUGCGUAGAGAUCUGGAGGAAUACCGGUGGCGAA